rnacentral:tRNA from 1 species
GCCGCAGUGGCUUAGCUGGUAUAGCGACGCCUUGGUAAGGCGUAGGUCGGGGGUUCAAUUCCCCCCAGCGGCUCCA